UUAAAAGGCUGCUCCUUUCUCUUGUCAGGCACUGACAGAACUCUCAUGGGCCCCAAGGCCUGCAGCCACCCAGGGGCAAUUGUUGCCUCGUCCACCUCAGCUAUGCAGGGCCCUGUGGGGAAGCCUUAGCUGGUGUGCCUGGGACCUGGAUCCACCCCCAGCAUUACCUGCUUGAUGGUCAGUGCACUGAAAGCGGCUAUUUGGUGGCUUCCAGAGUAUAUGAAGUGUAAAGGAUGUUGAAACUGCGCAGCCUGACUCAGUUUUCCAACUUCAAAACUGCCUGCUGGUACAUGGAAAAGCACCUGCUGGAGGCGUUCAAAGGUGGUGACUUCAUGCCUAGUGGAUCUGAAGCAACAUCCUCAA
rnacentral:lncRNA from 1 species